AUACGGAGGGUGCAAGCGUUAUUCGGAAUCACUGGGCGUAAAGGACGCGUAGGCGGGUUGGCAAGUCAGAUGUGAAAUCCUACAGCUUAACUGUAAAACUGCAUUUGAAACUGCUAACCUAGAGUAUGGGAGGGGGAGAUGGAAUUAGUGGUGUAGGGGUAAAUCCGUAGAGAUAACUAGGAAUACCAAAAGCGAAGGCGAUCUCCUGGAACAUAACUGACGCUAAGGCGUGAAAGCGUGGGGAGCAAACAGGAUUAGAUACCCUUGUAGUCC
rnacentral:rRNA from 1 species